CCUACGGGUGGCAGCAGUGGGGAAUUUUCCGCAAUGGGCGAAAGCCUGACGGAGCAAGACCGCGUGAGGGAGGAAGGCUCUUGGGUUGUAAACCUCUUUUCUUUGGGAAGAAGCAAGUGACGGUACCAAAGGAAUCAGCAUCGGCUAACUCCGUGCCAGCAGCCGCGGUAAUACGGAGGAUGCAAGCGUUAUCCGGAAUCAUUGGGCGUAAAGCGUCCGCAGGUGGCUGUGCAAGUCUGCGGUCAAAGACAGUGGCUCAACUACUGAAAGGCCGUGGAAA
rnacentral:rRNA from 1 species